AAAAAUAAAUACCAACUGCAGAAACAGUAAUGCAUAUUGGAAUGACACAAAGAGUGCUGGAUGUUUGUUUGCAGCUUUGGGAUCAAGACAGAACAUUUACAACUUUAUCAAGCCAAAAACACAUCAAUACAACAUCUCCCUGUGUUUUCUCAAGCAAUUUUGCCACCUCCCUGGACUGCGCGUCUUCCCAGCAGCCACUGCAGGAUGGGCAGUUUCAUCUGAGCUCAGUGUGGAGGGGUGUACAGUGAUGGACUAUACCAUUAUCGUACAGGGUUCUGGUGCUGUCCGGGAUGCUGCAGGACUCCAGUUGUCAUGUGAUCAUUCACACUGUGAAAGGAUGUAGACCUGCUUUAGACGUUACAGUGGCAUUGAUGGUAAUGUAUGUUCCUCUAAAGAUGGAGUAAUACAAAAUGUAUAUAGCCAGUUCCUAAAACUUAUAGUUCCUGUUUUCUUACUUGUGCACCAAAACACAGACAUGAUGAGGAAGUGGUUGGCAGCACUACGACACAGACUGCAUAGACAGAGUACUGAGAGAUGUCUUCCUUUUCCUAUUAUUUUGAUAGACAACACUGUAUAAGAGCAGUUUGUCAAGUAGGACUCUUGAUUCUCUGCUGCUAUUGUUCGAAAAUGAUUCUCUCCAUAUUGAAUAAGAUUACUCGUAAAAUUAAUCAAAUCAAGUGUAAAUGGCUGUUCCAAAGUGGAAACCCUGCAAUCAGAUGACCGUAAAGACACAGACAAGGACUGAAAAAUAGUGACAUUCUUCAGGAAAGCUUGACAGAGCAAAGCUGUCCUUGUGACGACUGACGGCGUGAACCAGAAACCCAG